UCGUGACCCUGACCAAAACAGACCGCGCACACGUAAUCCAGCCCGCCGAGUGGUCUGCCGCUCGGCCAAGUCCUCGACAACCUCCUCUCCCCGGAGCGGGGGCUCGGGGUAAAAGAACCCACGGCGCCGAAGGCGUCAAGGAACACUGUGCCUAGCUCGGGGACGCGGCUGGCUUGCCGGCCGCACCCCCUGCUGCAAUGCUAUUUAAUCCACACGACUCUCGGCAACGGAUAUCUCGGCUCUCGCAUCGAUGAAGAACGUAGCGAAAUGCGAUACCUGGUGUGAAUUGCAGAAUCCCGCGAACCAUCGAGUCUUUGAACGCAAGUUGCGCCCGAGGCCAUCCGGCCGAGGGCACGCCUGCCUGGGAGUCACGCUAAACACGCUCCCACCCCCCCCCCCCCUCAUCGGGGACCGGGAUGCGGCAUGUGGCCUCCCGUCUCGCAAGAGGCGGUGGGCCGAAGAUAUGGCUGCCGGUGUAUCGUGCCGGACACAGCGCGUGGUGGGCGUCCUCGCUUUACUUAGCGCAGUGCAUUCGGAGCGUAGCCGGCGAGAUGGCCUCGAAGGACCCAUUGAACGGUGCGCAUGACGCUCCGACCGCGACCC
rnacentral:misc_RNA from 1 species